GACGACGGCCAGUACAGUCGGGAAGAAUGUUCUGUACUAGCCGUCACCGCCUUGCCGGCCCGAAAGAUGCCUCUUCACGCCUUGUUUGAAGGAACCUGGGUUGUAAGAGGAGGGGAACACGUGAGCUGCAUCCAAAACGACAGUGAACAGAUGAAGAGAUUUAAAUUGAAUUUCAGAACUUUUAUUGAAUAUUAUUUCUUACAAUGCUACCCCUCCCGCUUCGCUGGUACAAUAAGGACAUACAUAGAAUGUUUAUAUUGAAGGAAAAAC